GCUCGGCCUCAACAUGUCCUCGAGCGCCAUUACCGCCGCCCUCGCGCUCAUAGUCCUCGACUUCAAGGACGCCCGCCCCUGCCUGGAGAAGUAUUUGUCUGCAGUCAAACUGAACCAAGGGUAGAAAAGUAUGGCGUUGACCCUGCACUUGCCCAUUGUUUUCCAUCACCAGCAUAAGGCGAGCAGCCAGACAUCAUGUAGUAAGAGCUGAGGUGUUCCUGCCUACAGAUGUUGCAAAUUGUCAGGUAGCAUUGGGUCUCAUUCCAGAAAGAGAGAUCUUUAUUCAGUUGUUGAUGGGGAGCUGCCAGGAUCCUGAGGAUUUUGGAGGAGAUGUCAUGAUAUUGGGCUCCAUUGUACAGCCUCUGCUAGAGGAGUUCAAUGCCAUUUUGGUUAAACACCAGCUGGACAUGCUCAAAUGCACCUGAAACACAAGGAUGCCCAAUCACCUGAUGAUUGUACAUAUCUACUACUGUACUGCACAAGCUAAUUAACCUAGCUUGCAUUGUAAAAUGAAGAUUUGUUGGUGUUUCUUUUAGAAACUGCUGGUGGUUGGUUCCAGACUCCCUUUUUGUUAAGGAGAUGUCUUUGCUGUAUGUGUUUGUGCCCUUGUAGUUGUAGUGGGUUGGAUGUAUCAUAGAACUUAUCUGCCUGAAACAAAAUGCAUCUCUUGUUUCUCUU